AUUGCGGCGGCACAGGCUCGUGCGUGUGCGCGAAUUCUCUCCUCGUCUUCUCGAGCGCAGAGCUUGAUAUUUUCGCUUUAAAACUACAAAACGCGCGUCUCUCUCUCUUUGUGUAACAAUAAUAAUAAUAACCGAUACACAGCGAUCGAUGGUUCCGAUCUUUGUGUGACCGUAGAUUGAGAAAAUUCCUUCGAUCGAGCUUUUUUUGCCCCAGCCCUUAGCCGGGCCCGCGAGAAAAUCAUAGUACAAAGUGUCGAUACAAUAAAGUGCGCCGAAUCGGGGGCCGAUACACACAUAGCCAGUGAUAAAGUGCGUGUGUUGUUGUUGUUGUGUGUGCGCGACUCCGGUGGUGGUGAAUUUUCUAGAACGUUUCAACGAUAGUCUGUGUACGUACGCACACAUCGUGACAGGCAACAUCUCCUCGUUAUUAUUUCGCAAACGUACCACUCGGUUCGUUUUUUCCGCAGCUCGUACACAGCAGCGGCAGCGCAAGAGAUUUUGAAGCGCCGUGUCUACUAUCUAGCGCUCGAGAGUCGAAAAAAAAAGAUAUAUAUCGCAAGAAUCCUAGUGGAAUCGGAGUAUUAUAUAGUAGUGGCACUAUACACUGCAUGCGGUUAUAGAGAGAUUUUGCAUCGCGCAAGAAGAUCGUAUAUAUCUAAUACUGCGACGUACGAUCUUGUGUGCGCAUAUAUACGUGUGUUGGUGUGAGAGUUGGUUUCUGCACGUACGCCGCAGCCAUCGUCACUGUAGCCGAGCUUUAUAUAGUGCGACGUUCUUUGUAUUAUUUACGAAGGACGACUUAACGCAGUAGUAAAAAAAAGAAAAGACUAACAGCAAUAGUAUACGUUUGGGGAGUCUGGAUUUGUUGAAGUGCUCGUCAGGCGGGGAGGCCCAAUUAUAAUCACUAAUGCAUAGAAUUAGAAGCGACCGGAUUUGCUACAAAAUUAAUAACAAUUUAUGGCGAUUGAUCAAUGAAAUCGUCAGCAACGGAUAGAGAGGCCAAGAGAAGAGAAUAAAUAACAAAUCGCUUCAAAGGCUCAAAAAACAUAACUUGAAAAUUUGGUGGUGGUAGAUCGCGGGUUACAAGAGAGCUUGAAACGAUGUAAAAAAAGCCCGUGGAAUUCCAGGAUUGUGUAUUAAUUAGGAAAAAAUCGUCGGUUAAAGAAGCAGCUGAUCCUCGUCCAAGUUUUACAAGAUUUUCACAUCUUUACGCACGAGCAGACGAUGAUACAGUAAAGCUGCUCAAAUAUCGAUUAUGAAAUGUAAGAGGCGCGAAAUUUGAUCUCCGAAGUGAAGCGCAUCGAUUUCCGGCCGCACACACCCACAUACAUACACACACACGCGCUGCGUGUGCUAUUCGCAGUCAACGUCAACGAAAAUGACGGGCAGCCAGUGCAGCGAAAUCGGCUGCGAGCUGGGCUGUCGAGCAGCGCAACAGCACCAACAUCAACAGCAGCAGCAGCAGCAAUCGAUCCCAUCGGCAACGAGCGGCCCAUCGAUCGAUCGAAAAUGUCGAUCCACCACCGCUGCCGGCAGCAGCAGCAACAGCAGCGCAGUCCCUACCACCGCUACGAGCAACAUUACCACCACCACCAACAACAACAACAACAACAACAACAACGACGGUGGCGGAGUGUCUCAGCAUCAGCAGCAUCAGCAUCAGCCACCAGCAGCACCUCGUGCCAACGCCAACAACGCCACAGCAGCAACAACGGCAGCCACCACAGCCAGCAACGCGACGGGCCAAAAGCACACGGUCCAUUGGUUCCGCAAGGGUCUGAGGCUGCACGACAAUCCGUCGCUGCGCGACGGCCUCGAGGGCGCUGCGACGUUCCGCUGCGUCUUCGUGCUCGAUCCCUGGUUCGCCGGCAGCACCAACGUCAGCAUAAAUAAGUGGAGGUUAUUUCUCCUGCAAUGCCUCGAGGACCUGGACAGCUCUCUGCGCAAGCUCAACUCGCGGCUGUUCGUCAUCAGGGGCCAGCCUGCGGACGCCCUGCCCAAGCUCUUCAAGGAGUGGGGCACCACGGCGCUGACCUUCGAGGAGGACCCCGAGCCCUACGGACGCGUGCGCGACGAGAACAUCACGACGCUCUGCCGCGAGCUCGGCAUCUACGUCGUCCAGAAGGUCUCGCACACCCUCUACAAGCUCGACGAAAUCAUCGAGCGCAACGGGGGUAAACCACCUUUGACCUAUCAUCAGUUUCAAAACAUCAUAGCUCAAAUGGACCCGCCCGAGUAUCCCGCGCCUACGGUCACGGCCGACUGUAUCGGGAACGCUUACACGCCUCUCAUCGACGAUCACGACGAUCUCUACGGCGUGCCCACGCUCGAGGAAUUAGGUUUCGACACGGAGGGCCUCAACCAACCGGUCUGGGUGGGCGGCGAGAGCGAGGCCCUGACCCGUCUCGAGCGCCACCUCGAGCGCAAGGCCUGGGUGGCGAGCUUCGGCCGGCCCAAGAUGACGCCCCAGUCGCUGCUCCCGUCGCAGACCGGCCUGUCGCCCUAUCUGCGCUUCGGCUGCCUCAGCACGCGGCUGUUCUACUACGAGCUCACGGAGCUCUACAAGAAGAUCAAGAAGACGGCGCCGCCGCUGUCGCUGCACGGCCAGCUGCUCUGGCGCGAGUUCUUCUACUGCGCCGCCACCAACAAUCCCAACUUCGAUAGGAUGCACGGCAAUCCCAUCUGCGUGCAGAUACCCUGGGACAAGAACACCGAGGCAUUGGCCAAGUGGGCUAACGGCCAGACUGGCUUUCCCUGGAUCGACGCGAUAAUGACGCAGCUGCGUGAGGAGGGCUGGAUUCAUCAUUUGGCCAGGUACGCGGUCGCCUGCUUCCUCACCCGUGGCGACCUUUGGAUCUCCUGGGAGGAGGGCAUGAAGGUUUUCGACGAGCUGUUACUCGACGCCGACUGGUCGAUAAACGCGGGCAUGUGGAUGUGGUUCUCGUGCAGCUCGUUCUUUCAGCAAUUCUUUCACUGCUACUGUCCCGUAAGAUUCGGCCGAAAAGCCGAUCCCAACGGCGACUACAUCAGACGAUACCUGCCGGUUUUGAAGAAUUUUCCGACUCGCUACAUACACGAGCCGUGGAACGCGCCGCUGAGCGUCCAGAGAGCCGCCAAGUGCACCGUGGGCAGGGAUUACUCGCUGCCGAUGGUCAAUCACAGCAAGAGCUCGCGCAUCAAUGUCGAGCGAAUGAAGCAGGUUUAUCAACAGCUGUCGAAAUAUCGCGCCAACGGUGUUGCUUUGAAUGGCGAGACAGUAGAAAGAUCUUUGAUGUCGUUUUAAACAUUUACAACGACCGAAGCGCAAAAAUUGAACGAGAGAAAAAGUAUGCCGAAUCGAACGAAAUUCUGGGGACUGCUCAGCGUAGCGCCCACGCCGCCUUUAAUCGGAUACGACCAGCUGGACGGCGAGUUGGAUCAGGCGAGCCAGCAGCA
rnacentral:misc_RNA from 1 species